GAUGAAAGAACGUAGUGAAAUGCGAUAAGUAAUGUGAAUUGCAGAAUUCAGUGAAUCAUCGAAUCUUUGAACGCACAUUGCGCCCGCCAGUAUUCUGGCGGGCAUGCCUGUCUGAGCGUCAUUUCAACCCUCAUGCCCCUAGGGCGUGGUGUUGGGGAUCGGCCAAAGCCCGCGAGGGACGGCCGGCCCCUAAAUCUAGUGGCGGACCCGUCGUGGCCUCCUCUGCGAAGUAGUGAUAUUCCGCAUCGGAGAGCGAUGAGCCCCUGCCGUUAAACCCCCAACUUUCCAAGGUUGACCUCAGAUCAGGUAGGAAUACCCGCUGAACUUAAGCAUAUCAAUAAGCGGAGGA
rnacentral:misc_RNA from 1 species